GACGAACCAUGCAAACGUUAUUCGGAUUCACUGGGCUUAAAGCGUGCGUAGGCGGUCUUGUUAGUCAGGUGUGAAAGCCCUCAGCCUAACUGAGGAAUUGCGCUUGAUACUGCAUGACUAGAGAAUGAUAGAGGUGGGUGGAACUGAUGGUGGAGCGGUGAAAUGCGUUGAUAUCAUCAGGAACACCAGUGGCGAAGGCGACCCACUGGGUCAUUUCUGACGCUGAGGUACGAAAGCCAGGGGAGCAAACGGG
rnacentral:rRNA from 1 species